rnacentral:rRNA from 1 species
AUUGAACGCUGGCGGCAGGCCUAACACAUGCAAGUCGAACGGUAACAGGAAGAAGCUUGCUUCUUUGCUGACGAGUGGCGGACGGGUGUGUCAUGUCUGGGAAACUGCCUGAUGGAGGGGGAUAACUACUGGAAACGGUAGUUAAUACCGCAUAACGUCGCAAGCCCAUAGAGGGGGACCUUCGGGCCUCUUGCCAUCGGCUGUGCCCAGAUGGGAUUAGCUAGUAGGUGGGGUAACGGCUCACCUAGGCGACGAUCCAUAGCUGGUCUGAGAGGAUGACCGGCCACACUGGAACUGAGACACGGUCCAGACUCCUACGGGAGGCAGCAGUAGGGAAUAUUGCGCAAUGGGCGCAAGCCUGAUGCAGCCAUGCCGCGUGUAUGAAGAAGGCCUUCGGGUUGUAAAAUUCUUUCAGCGGGGAGGAAGGGAGUAAAGUUAAUACCUUUGCUCAUUGACGUUACCCGCAGAAGAAGCACCGGCUAACUCCGUG